GACGAACGCUGGCGGCGUGCCUAAUACAUGCAGGUAGAACGCUGAAGGAGGAGCUUGCUCUUCUGGAUGAGUUGCGAACGGGUGAGUAACGCGUAGGUAACCUGCCUGGUAGCGGGGGAUAACUAUUGGAAACGAUAGCUAAUACCGCAUAACAGUAGAUGUUGCAUGACAUUUACUUAAAAGGUGCAAUUGCAUCACUACCAGAUGGACCUGCGUUAUAUUAGCUAGUUGGUGGGGUAACGGCUCACCAAGGCGACGAUACAUAGCCGACCUGAGAAGGUGAUCGGCCACACUGGGACUGAGACACGGCCCAGACUCCUACGGGAGGCAGCAGUAGGGAAUCUUCGGCAAUGGACAGAAGUCUGACCGAGCAACGCCGCGUGAGUGAAGAAGGUUUUCGGAUCGUAAAGCUCUGUUGUAAGAGAAGAACGAGUGUGAGAGUGGAAAGUUCACACUGUGACGGUAUCUUACCAGAAAGGGACGGCUAACUACGU
rnacentral:rRNA from 1 species